ACACACACACACACACACGCACGCACACACACACACACACACACACACACACACACACACACACACACACACACACAUACACACACACACACACACACACACACACACACACAACUGAAAUAAAAGACCUAUAUAAACUAAGGUGGGAAGACUGAGAGACAUGAAGAAAACCAGGAGGGAGCUGGGGACAAAGAGGCUGGAGCUACAAGGACACAGAACGUGAAGGAAAACCUGGAGGGGCUGGGGAUGACUGAAUGAACACAGGGCCUGGGAGGAAUGAUCUAAAGGGCUACAAACAGAAGACACAUGAACACAAAGAGACACAUAAAUGAGACGCAGACAAAGGACACAUGAGGGCGCUAUGAGACACAAAGGGGGAAACUAGAGAGGGAUGGAGAACACGAGGAGACACAUGAGGGAAGACGCAGACGCAGACCAUGACACAGAAGGAAAUUUCUUAAUAAUGAGUAUAACUAACAAUUAGAUAUUGUUAUUUUGACAGUAAUAUCAGAAAAAAGAGAUUAAUUAUGCUGUUUUGUUGAAGACGGUGGCAGUAUAACAAUCAAAACAAUCAAAACACAAAGAUAACCCUUAAUUUCCUCCCCUUUUCCUGUCAGACGAUGCUGAUGGACAUGGACAUCACUCUGAUCGUCAUGGCCGGCUUCCAGCUGAUCUCCUCACUUAUUCUCAUCAUUUUUGGCAUGAUGUUUUUGUGCGGCAGGUGGAUGGAGAAAGACAUCAGUGAUAUUAAGAUUCGACAGCUGUUGUUGAAGAACAUCCUCCUGAGCGGUUCUACUGUUUAAAAACUUGUAUUAAUGUUUCUAAUCACUUCAGCUGAUAUUAUUUUAAAUGCAGCAGCUGAACAGAAUCACUCCGACUUUACAGGAAAGGAAACAUUUCCUUUGGGGUCCAAUUUGGUUCCAUUUAAUCCUUGAAAAAUGAACUUUUCACUCUUUCGUUUUAAACACAGCUGUGCAGUGAAGCUGACAUCUGAUUAAACAUUCUUCAGAAAAAGAAAAUGAUGCUUUACAACAUGGAGACAAUGAAACCUGAACUCACAUUUUUAACACUGUGAUCCUUCUAAAAAUUAGGAAACUAUGUGAAUAAAAUCAGAGGAACUAA